rnacentral:rRNA from 1 species
GCAACGCCGCGUGAGUGAUAGAAGGUUUUCGGAUCGUAAAGCUCUGUCGUUAGGGAAGAACAAGUGCCGUUCAAAUAGGGCGGCCCCUUGACGGUACCUAACCAGAAAGCCCCGGCUAACUACGUGCCACCAGCCGCGGUAAUACGUAGGUGGCAAGCGUUGUCCGGAAUUAUUGGGCGUAAAGGGCUCGCAGGCGGUUUCUUAAGUCUGAUGUGAAAGCCCCCGGCUCAACCGGGGAGGGUCAUUGGAAACUGGGGAACUUGAGUGCAGAAAAGGAGAGUGGAAUUCCACGUGUAGCGGUGAAAUGCGUAAAGAUGUGGAGGAACACCAGUGGCGAAGGCGACUCUCUGGUCUGUAACUGACGCUGAGGAGCGAAAGCGUGGGGAGCGAACAGGAUUAAAUACCCUGGUAGUCCACGCCGUAAACAAUGAGUGCUAAGUGUUAGGGGGUUUCCGCCCCUUAGUGCUGCAGCUAACGCAUUAACCACUCCGCCUGGGGAGUACGGUCGCAAGACUGAAACUCAAAGGAAUUGAGGGGGGCCCGCACAAGCGGUGGAGCAUGUGUUUUAUUUCGAAGCAACGCGAAAAACCUUACCGGGUCUUGACAUCCUCUGACAAUCCUAGAGAUAGGACGUCCCCUUCGGGGGCAGAGUGACAGGUGGUGCAUGUUUGUCGUCAGCUCGUGUCGUGAGAUGUUGGGAUAAGUCCCGCAACGAGCGCAACCC